GCUCAGUCAUUUAAUUCGCGAUAAAUGGAGUUAACCGUGAGUUAUGCCGCGUUCAUAACAACUGGCACUGGGAAAAAAAAUGAACUCGGAAUUCCAAAUCGGACACUCAGGAUCUUUCUAGAGUUGACUUCCCGACCUGAAGAUCACUGACGUCAUGAUUUAAACUCGUUCCCAGUUGUCAUGAAAGUACCAUUAGCAUUCCCCGGAGCAGGUUAGAUAUGAAUGUACCUGGCUAAAAGUUGCUAGGUACCAGUAAGUAGGAGCAGCUGAAGAGGGCUGCAGAAAUAAAAAUAAGAUGGUUGAGAAGAGGUGGACAUUGGAGGAUGAGAUGAGCACCUUCAGCAAGAAGAAAGCAGCUACUGAACUGCUCUGUGGCCACUCCUUCAACACCACUGCAAACGGCUGUCUGUUGCUGGCAUGCUGAAAUGUGGAGCGCAUGGAACAGAGGAUAUUCUCGGAAAAAGCUCUCAGAAGGCGCCAGAACGGGGAAUGAUGACUCUG